AAGUUUAGCUUAUAAAACUACAAACCAAGAGCCUUCAAAGUUCUAAAUAGGGAAAACCCGCCCUAACUCCUG
rnacentral:tRNA from 1 species